GACGAACGCUGGCGGCGUGCUUAACACAUGCAAGUCGAACGAUGAACCCGGAGCUUGCUCUGGGGGAUUAGUGGCGAACGGGUGAGUAACACGUGAGUAACCUGCCCUGGACUCUGGGAUAAGCGUUGGAAACGACGUCUAAUACCGGAUAGGACCUUGGAUGGAAUGAUCUGGGGGGGAAAGUUUUUUCGGUCUGGGAUGGACUCGCGGCCUAUCAGCUUGUUGGUGAGGUAAUGGCUCACCAAGGCGUCGACGGGUAGCCGGCCUGAGAGGGUGACCGGCCACACUGGGACUGAGACACGGCCCAGACUCCUACGGGAGGCAGCAGUGGGGAAUAUUGCACAAUGGGCGAAAGCCUGAUGCAGCAACGCCGCGUGCGGGAUGACGGCCUUCGGGUUGUAAACCGCUUUUAGUAGGGAAGAAGGGCUUCGGCUUGACGGUACCUGCAGAAAAAGGACCGGCUAACUACGUG
rnacentral:rRNA from 1 species